rnacentral:rRNA from 1 species
CAGUAGCCGCGGUAAAACCGAGGGUGCAAGCGUUAAUCGGAAUUACUGGGCGUAAAGCGCGCGUAGGUGGUUUGUUAAGUUGGAUGUGAAAGCCCCGGGCUCAACCUGGGAACUGCAUCCAAAACUGGCAAGCUAGAGUACGGUAGAGGGUGGUGGAAUUUCCUGUGUAGCGGUGAAAUGCGUAGAUAUAGGAAGGAACAUCAGUGGCGAAGGCGACCACCUGGACUGAUACUGACACUGAGGUGCGAAAGCGUGGGGAGCAAACAGGAUUAGAUACCCGCGUAGUCCCUGUCUCUUAUAC